GACGAACGCUGGCGGCGUGCUUAACACAUGCAAGUCGAACGGAAAGGCCCGGCUUUUGUGCGGUGCUCGAGUGGCGAAGGGGUGAGUAACACGUGAGUAACCUGCCCCUGACUGUGGGAUAUCUUCAUGAAACUGGGGCUAAUACCGGAUAGGAGCUCCUGCUGCAUGGUGGGGGUUGGAAAGUUUCGGCGGUUGGGGAUGGACUCGCGGCUUAUCAGAUUGUUGGGGGGGUAGUGGCAUACCAAGGCUUGGACGGGUAGCCGGCCUGGGAGGAGGACCGGCCCCAUUAGGACUGGAAUACGACCCAGACUCGAACGGGACGCAACGGAGGAGAAGAUAACACAGGAGGCUGAAGCCUGAUGCAACAACGCCGCGUGCGGUAAGACGUCCUUCGGGUUGUGAACCGCUUUCGCCUUUGCCGAGGCGUGAGUGACGGUACCGGGUAAAGAAGCACCGGCUAACUACGUG
rnacentral:rRNA from 1 species